CCUACGGGAGGCAGCAGUGAGGAAUAUUGGUCAAUGGACGCGAGUCUGAACCAGCCAAGUAGCGUGAAGGAUGACUGCCCUAUGGGUUGUAAACUUCUUUUAUAAAGGAAUAAAACGAGGCACGUGUGCCUUUUUGCAUGUACUUUAUGAAUAAGGAUCGGCUAACUCCGUGCCAGCAGCCGCGGUAAUACGGAGGAUCCGAGCGUUAUCCGGAUUUAGUGGGUUUAAAGGGAGCGUAGAUGGGUUGUUAAGUCAGUUGUGAAAGUUUGCGGCUCAACCGUAAAAUUGCAAUUGAUACUGGCAGUCUUGAGUACAGUUGAGGUAGGCGGAAUUCGUGGUGUAGCGGUGAAAUGCGUAGAGAUCACGAAGAACACCGAUUGCGAAGGCAGCUUACUAAACUGUGACUGACAUUGAUGCUCGAAAGUGUGGGUAUCAAACAGGAUUAGAUACCCCUGUAGUC
rnacentral:rRNA from 1 species